UGGGCUUUAAUUUUCUUUGCUGGUUCGUCCGUAUGAGAUGGACUUUAUAUUUUCCCUCACUUUCUCGGGAAAUCAAAGAGAAACUAAUGAUGGAACUUGUGGUCUUCCAAAGCCAUAGUUAAUAAAACAGAAAGAAAAAAGUUAAGAGAGUCAGACGAGCCCUUGGGCUAGUGGUCAGCUUGCUUCACCAACCACCAACCAUACUUCAUGCAUGACUUCAAAUCAUUGUGUUUGGCAUUAUGUUACUACUUACUAAUGUUACGGAAAUAAGGGAGAGUUGAAAUGAUUCAGCAUGGCCAGUCUGAUGAUGGAGAUGGAGAAGAAGCAUGUUGUGGCACUGAAGGACUGAGUGUCAAUUUUCUUUGUGGGGACACAUACAUUGCUGUGUCAAAUACUAAAGAUGAGCAUGUCUCCUCGCAGGGUCAAAGAAAUAAACUUUUCACUGGAGGUAAUUUACUGAUAUAUAUGUCAACAAAAGUAAUCAAAAGAAAUCCACAUAUUAAUACGAGGAUAAAGUCUUAUGAUCUAAUUUUAAAAUUCAAGAGACCAGGUCUCUAAAACUCUAAUUUUAAAAUUCAAUUGGAUCCGUCUCUCACUCUCAAGUGAGAAGGGAAGUCAGAGUUUAUUUUUGAUUGGGUAUGUAGUGUAGUGUAGAUUUUGAACUGGAUAU